AUCAGGGAGUGCAGUAUUAUGCCCUACAACAUGAUGAUGAGUAAUUCAGGCAAAACCACCUGCAGAUGCUCCUUCUCUCAUUCUUGCUCCCCUCCCUUGGAAAUCUGUGGCAGCAUUUGAUUCAGACAAAGAGUCCUGCAAAACAUUGGGAAGAGCAGAUUCUUGGAUAGCAAAUGAGACAACUGCUCUCCUAUUUUUUUAAUGUCAUUUAAUAAAAUUUUCAGCAAAUGUUCAA